AUUGAACGCUGGCGGCAUGCCUUACACAUGCAAGUCGAACGGCAGCACGGGUGCUUGCACCUGGUGGCGAGUGGCGAACGGGUGAGUAAUACAUCGGAACAUGUCCUGUAGUGGGGGAUAGCCCGGCGAAAGCCGGAUUAAUACCGCAUACGAUCUACGGAUGAAAGCGGGGGACCUUCGGGCCUCGCGCUAUAGGGUUGGCCGAUGGCUGAUUAGCUAGUUGGUGGGGUAAAGGCCUACCAAGGCGACGAUCAGUAGCUGGUCUGAGAGGACGACCAGCCACACUGGGACUGAGACACGGCCCAGACUCCUAAGGGAGGCAGCAGUGGGGAAUUUUGGACAAUGGGCGAAAGCCUGAUCCAGCAAUGCCGCGUGUGUGAAGAAGGCCUUCGGGUUGUAAAGCACUUUUGUCCGGAAAGAAAUCCUUGGCUCUAAUACAGUCGGGGGAUGACGGUACCGGAAGAAUAAGCACCGGCUAACUACGUG
rnacentral:rRNA from 1 species